CCCAAAACUCACGUGACCACUCCCCCCAUCUUUCUUCACUAUCUCCCUCCUUCCCACGUGACCUCCUCUCUCUUUCUUCUUCUUCGCUCCUUCAUUCAUCUGUCAGAAGAAGAGCCCUCUCUCAGAUAUGCUCUGUAUCCUCAUUGCUAUCGUCGUGCAGAAACAAGUGCAGAAACAAGAGCAGAUGGGUCAGACUCUACACCAAUCAGAACCUUGUUCUCGAUUUAGACAGCCUCUUAUGGGGUAAAGAGACAUACCUUGAUAAAUUAUCUGAAAGAUGGAAGAGAGAGGAGAAGAUGAAUCAUUAUCUUCAGAGCUUGCGGAAAGGGUUAAGUUGCUUUCUGUUGAAUCUCAAGGUGAAGGUUUGAGUAGGGAGUCUCCUCCUAGGAGUGUUGAGCAGGAUGUCUCUCCAGGUCAAAGAGCAUCACAGCUUCUUUGGGAUACUGGAAUGCUUUGUGAACCCAUUCCUAAUGGUUUUUACUCUGUUGUUCCGGACAAGAGAGUAAAGGAGCUAUAUAAUAGACUACCUACUCCGAGUGAGCUUCAUGCUUUGGGAGAGGAAGGUGUCAGAAUUGAAGUCAUUCUUGUUGAUUUUCACAAGGAUAAGAAGCUCGCCAUGCUUAAACAGUUGAUCAAUACACUUGUCAGCGGCUCAAAUCCUGCUUCGAUGAUCAAGAAAAUAGCUGGAACUGUGUCUGACUUUUACAAGCGUCCUACACUGGAAAGCCCUUCUAAGCUUGCUCUGGAGGAGAAUGCCUUCUUGUUUGAAAACCAUGGUGCUCAGUUGCUUGGCCAAAUUAAGCGUGGGUGCUGUCGAGCCCGGGCGAUUUUGUUCAAAGUUUUAGCUGAUACUGUAGGACUUGAAAGUCGGCUGGUGGUGGGUCUGCCUAAUGAUGGGACUGUGGAUUGCAUGGACUCUAACAAACACAUGUCUGUUAUAGUCGUGCUGAACUCCGUUGAACUACUAGUCGAUCUAAUCCGUUUCCCUGGUCAGUUGGUGCCUCGAUCAGCCAAGGCAAUUUUCAUGUCACACAUCACACCUUCUGGAGAGAGUGAUUCUGCAGAAAACGACUCUUGUGAUUCGCCUUUGGAGCCCAAUAGUCCUUUAUACGAGAGAAGAGAUCUUGAGAGUACAGAAAAAGAUGAAAAAGGAUAUCCAAAUGCAUCGUUGCAUAAUUUGAUGCUUAGACCUGCUACAGCUAUUGAAAGAAAAUUGAGUAACACCUCACAUAGUGAACCAAAUAUUGCCACUGUGUUCUGGAGACGUAGCCGCAGAAAAGUGAUUGCUGAACAGAGAACAGCUAGCUCGAGCCCAGAACACCCAUCUAUGCGAUCACGUGGACGAUCAAUGUUGAGUACUGGUAGGCACUCAUUUAGGGAUUACUCUGGUGAUGCAUCUCCUUCAAGUUCAUCCACAUUAGAAAUUCGUAAAACUAGACGACGAAGUUUCAGGAUGACACCAGAGAUUGGGGAUGACAUUGCAAGCGCUGUACGAGAAAUGUAUGAGAAAUCAAAGCAAAAUCGUCUCUUGCAUGGCCGAGAGGAUGGAAACAGCUCAGGUAUCAAUAAAAAUGUGUCUGGCCUCCAUCUUGAUGAUGUGUUAAAUUCAAAGAAGACAAUGUCGUUGCCAUCAUCCCCUCAUGCUUACAGGAGUCAAGGAUUCGGACGGAGAGGGCCUUCAGAUUUUGCCGUGAAGGAUACGUGGAAUAAAGUGGUUGAGUCUUCCACAUUGCAGAAUCAGCCUUUGUUACCCUAUCAAGAAUGGGACAUUGACUUCUCAGAGCUGACUGUUGGAACUCGGGUGGGGAUUGGAUUUUUUGGUGAAGUUUUUCGUGGAGUGUGGAACGGGACAGAUGUUGCAAUAAAACUGUUUCUGGAGCAAGAUCUUACUGCCGAAAACAUGGAAGAUUUCUGCAAUGAGAUAUCGAUUCUCAGCCGAGUUCGCCACCCAAAUGUUGUUCUAUUUCUUGGUGCAUGCACAAAGCCUCCGCGCUUAUCCAUGAUCACGGAAUACAUGGAGCUGGGAUCUUUGUAUUAUCUGAUACACAUGAGUGGUCAGAAGAAGAAACUUAGCUGGCACAGAAGGCUCAGGAUGCUAAGAGACAUCUGCAGGGGCUUGAUGUGCAUACACCGGAUGAAAGUAGUUCACCGUGACCUAAAAAGUGCCAACUGUCUCGUGGACAAACAUUGGACAGUCAAGAUCUGUGAUUUUGGGCUGUCGAGGAUAAUGACUGAUGAAAACAUGAAGGACACUUCAUCUGCUGGUACACCAGAGUGGAUGGCUCCAGAACUCAUCCGCAACGAACCUUUCACGGAGAAAUGUGAUAUCUUUAGUCUUGGGGUCAUAAUGUGGGAGCUUUCUACUUUACGUAAACCAUGGGAAGGUGUUCCACCUGAGAAGGUCAUCUUUGCUGUUGCGCAUGAACGGUCACGUCUUGAGAUUCCUGAUGGUCCACUGAGCAAACUAAUUGCAGAUUGUUGGGCAGAGCCUCAGGAACGCCCGAAUUGUGAAGAGAUACUUAGAGGCUUGCUAGAUUGUGAGUAUACACUGUGUUAGCACCACUUCUCUGUGGUGGGAUAUGAGCCGAAGGAGUUCUAGCUCAAAAAGCAGCCCAGGGUUAUUUAAUUUCUUGUGAAGGACGAAGACACGUGGAAGUUUGCAGUGAGAGAGAGGUGGGUUUCUUCACCGUUGAUGGGAGAAGCGCUUACUCUACUAACUGGUCUACUCAAGUGCAGAGAAUUAAAUGUUCAAGAGCUUAGGUCAUUAAGAAUGGGAACAAUAUAACAGAGAUAUAUGGAGUUGUCGCUGACAUACUCUGUUUAGUGUCUGAAUUUUCUUUAGUGUCUUUUGUUUGGAUUGCGAGAGAGAAAAACAGACAAGCUGAUGAGCUUUCAAAACAGAUUCUAGAUGUUAAUAAGGUCUUUAUGACCUCCACCUAAUUUUAAUUGAAUGAA